rnacentral:rRNA from 1 species
GACGAACGCUGGCGGCGUGCUUAACACAUGCAAGUCGAACGGAAAGGCCCUGCUUUUGUGGGGUGCUCGAGUGGCGAACGGGUGAGUAACACGUGAGUAACCUGCCCUUGACUUUGGGAUAACUUCAGGAAACUGGGGCUAAUACCGGAUAGGAGCUCCUGCUGCAUGGUGGGGGUUGGAAAGUUUCGGCGGUUGGGGAUGGACCCGCGGCUUAUCAGCUUGUUGGUGGGGUAGUGGCUUACCAAGGCCUUGACGGGUAGCCGGCCUGAGAGGGUGACCGGCCACAUUGGGACUGAGAUACGGCCCAGACUCCUACGGGAGGCAGCAGUGGGGAAUAUUGCACAAUGGGCGGAAGCCUGAUGCAGCAACGCCGCGUGCGGGAUGACGGCCUUCGGGUUGUAAACCGCUUUCGCCUGUGACGAAGCGUGAGUGACGGUAAUGGGUAAAGAAGCACCGGCUAACUACGUG